rnacentral:lncRNA from 1 species
GGGGGGAAAACAACACUCGUCCUUAAAAUAUUGGAUAACUUCGAAGACCCUCCAUGUGGUUUCAUACUUUUCCAUUUUAGUAUUCUAUAAUUUAAAGUGUAUCAAGUCAGUACCCUGUGGUUUCGCAUUUUCUCACUUUAGUAUCCUAUGGUUUAAAGUGUAUCAAGUUAGUGCCUUAUGGUUUUAUUUUUGUAUCAAGUUAGUACCAUGUGGUUUAUAAACUACAAGGAACUAAAGUGAGAAAGUGCGAAACCACAGCCCACAGGGUACUAAUUUGAUACACUUUAAACCACAUGGUACUAAAGUGAAAAAGUACAAAACCAUAUGGUACUAACUUGAUACACUUUAAACCACAGGAUACUAAAAUGAAAAAAAAAAAAACCAU